AUUUAUGUUGCCCUGCUUACUCUCACCGAAAAUUUGAAGUUUGAGCGGUGCCGCACGCAGCAAAAAGAGGCUUGUUUAAAACAAUAAAACGCAUGGUUGAUUUUCAAACUGAGCAAUUGCUUAUUCCAAAGUUAUCCCAAGUAACCAAAAGUUCCGCUUCCCAUGACAAAAUACACUUUCAAGUUCCGCGAAGUUCAGAUAAAGUUCCAAAUGGAACUUUCUGGCUGCUUAAGAGGCUAACGAUGAGCCUUGCUGGAACUUGGGCCACAAGUUCCGACUAUUAAAUAUUUUAAUGAGCAACCUCGAACGAGCUGCUUAGCUUCAAAAGUACCCUUUUAUCUGAACUUUUGGUUACUUGGGAUAUUUCUUUGUUCUUGCUUAGAGUUUAUCGAUCAAAACAAUCAAUUCCCUUCAUUCCAUAUAACGAUGAAAACUUCAUUUGUUUCAACAAAAUGGGGACCAUAAACAUGGCCCGGAUGCACUCACACAUCUUUAAAAUUCUUACCCCAACAUCGCCACAACGAAGAAAGUGUUGCAAAUCCAUCAUUCCAUCUUCCAAGUGCAGUUUUGGCCGUGAUGGAUAACGCGCAGGUACUCAAGACAGCAUCCUCAAAAAGUUGGUCGGUUUCGCUUUUUUGCCUUUUUUAUUCGUUCUCGCUUCCAUCCGCUUGCCGAGUGUCUAAAAAUAGAUUUCCGAGCUGUCGCAGGAGCUGCCGUCACCAACACAAUCACAUUGCGGUUUUGUUAGUACCAAAAGUGCAGUCGUUUAAAACUGUUGCGGAACCACUGGACGUGAGACGAAGUGAGUUCAGUACCGCCCUGGAUGAGUCAACGAUGUCAGGCGGUAUGACAAGACCGAUCUGUCAUAGGUAGCAUAAACCCAUCGUGGUGAUGGACGUGUCAAUGCUAUUGUGAACAAGAUUUGAGGAAGACGUGCAAUUAGAUAAAUUUGAUCCUAAACUAGUUUGCUAUCAGAUUGUUAUAUUUGAAAUUAAAUCCUAAACAUUGAAUUCUUAUAACUAUACGGGUAUAAAAGUGCUUUAAAACUUAGCCUACAAUAAAUAAGAUACCCGCUAAUAGUACGGACACAGUCGUUGUUCGGGAGAAAUUCUUUAUUCUUAAUUAGCUAAUCAGGAUUGUAAAAAGACGUAAACUACAUAAAUACCGUCAUGCAGGGUUAGUUUGGAUAGGACAGAAAACGAAAGGAACGAAUAUGUAAGUAACAAACAAACAAAUAUUGAAACAUGAAAUUACUAAAAUUUACAAAAUAUAUUUCAGCUUUGAAGCUGCUGAAAGCUAUCACGAUCGUUUCUUCUCCCUAUCCGAACAAAAACAAUCUGUCAUUUUAUGUUGAAACUACCAAAUCUCAGUUUGUUCUAACAAACUGUCAAAAAUUUCGUCAAAUGAAAAUAUUUGUAUUAUCAAACAAUGGAUAAAGUUCAGUUUAAACUAGAAAUCAAUUUGUCGCUAUAGCAAACUAAAAAAUCGGUUGAUUUGAACUAGAAUUUAAUUGUGUUUACAAUUAUUUUUUCUGCGUGUAAGAGUAAGCAGCAUGUCGAGUUCACUCCAGAUUACGUGCACUUUUCGAUGCUGCAGAAAUUCCGAUUACCUCCCUCAAGUAACGAACAGCGAUUAAUUAUCCACUCCACUCUCCGAUGUGGUUGCACUUCUACUGCCCGAGCUAGCCUUUGCUGCGGCUGCGGCACCUAACUACCUCUCUCGUUUUCCAUGUUUAUUAUCCCUCCUCUUCUAAAGGCUUUUUUCCAUAGUGUUUAUAUACUCUAUACACAGGCCAGAAUAUAUUCGUGCAGUGGACCAUAGUGACAAGAUGCAAGUUCGAAUAAACUUUUUUACACUUUGAUGCAAUAUCACAGACAAACAGAUAUACCACUCAAAUUGCAAUCGUCGUCGAUUUAGAGCCGAGGCACACGGCUCAUGUGCUAGUGAGAUGCCAAACGAUGAUUUUGAAACAAAUUUCUUAUAAGUAGUAUCACAGACAAACAACGAUUUUCAUGGAAAUCCAUCGCCCAGUUCACACUACCUGGUGGAAAAGCUGCACAAAUCACUGUGUUGUGCAAUAUCGUCAACAGAAGGCGCCAGUGUGAAAGCCACAACUAUGAAAAUUUAAAAUGAUCGUUAAAAGCGUGGUCGACAGAAAUUUCGCAAGUGUUACGUCUGUUUGUCUGUGGUAGUAUGUCUGUUUGUCUGUGGCAAGAUUGCAUCGCAACUUAGCGUUUUAUAGCCAUAAAGUGCAACCAUAGUUGCAUCUUGUCAGUUUAAUUCAGGGGAUCCGCAAGCGGCAAGGUAGGCCUAAUGCUCAUUUUUUUGCGAGUGUGUUAGUGUCGACUGGCAACGCGACCUGGAGCCUGCGGUUGAAUCCUACUUGGAAAUCGGAAGGCCCGCUCGAUGCAUGUUAGGUAGGCGUAUUUUGUUCGAGUAUGACGUGCCUACACCCUCCCACACACUAAGAUCAGCUCGGUAUUUUUCCCAUCUUUUUACUGAGUUCUCAACAUCAGAUUUAACUCGGUACGCUCGGUUGUUUCUUUUGCGGAUAUCCUAUAAAUGAGUUACCGAGCUCAGAUGAUAAACUGUCAAAAGUUACUGAUGCACGGUAAAAAUCGUAACUGGUGAACGGUAAAUACGAUUACCGAGUGUACCGAGAUAAAUCUGCUGUUGAAAACUCAGUAAAAAGAUGGAAAAAAUACAGAACUCAGUGAAAAAAUUACUGAGCUGGAACAUCUGAAUCUUAGUGUGCAGGUUUAAUUUGAGGAAGAGAGAGUCGAUGAAGAGUUAGGCCCAAAUGAAAAAUCAGUGUUGAUUUAUCAGGAUUGAGUAUAGGGCACUACAUUGUUUUGAUUUGGUAUGGGAUUUUGACGUUUCUUGGCCUUGUUGUUUACAGAAUUUCUGUAAGAGUGAAAAAGAAGGAGAGAACUUCGUGCAGUGCCCUAUAAAGCCUUCAGUGCACUCAGGAAAAUUGCCUCAUACUUAAUAGUAAUACGUAAUACACUCAGAAUAAAUAACACAUUAAAUUUAAAAGUUCUGCACUUAGAUUGUGACCAAUUGCUUUUUCACUUGAAAAAUGUGUGCAGCGCUAUCAAGAGCGCUAUCAAUUUUUUGUCGAUUCAAUCAUGA